rnacentral:rRNA from 1 species
GACGGAGGAUGCAAGCGUUCUCCGGAAUGAUUGGGCGUAAAGCGUCCGCAGGUGGCAGUUCAAGUCUGCUGUCAAAGACCGGGGCUUAACUUCGGAAAGGCAGUGGAAACUGAACAGCUAGAGUAUGGUAGGGGCAGAGGGAAUUCCUGGUGUAGCGGUGAAAUGCGUAGAUAUCAGGAAGAACAUCGGUGGCGAAGGCGCUCUGCUGGACCAUAACUGACACUCAGGGACGAAAGCUAGGGGAGCGAAUGGG